rnacentral:rRNA from 1 species
AUUGAACGCUGGCGGCAUGCUUUACACAUGCAAGUCGAACGGUAACAGGCCGCAAGGUGCUGACGAGUGGCGAACGGGUGAGUAAUGCAUCGGAACGUGCCCAGUCGUGGGGGAUAACGCAGCGAAAGCUGCGCUAAUACCGCAUACGAUCUAUGGAUGAAAGCGGGGGACCGUAAGGCCUCGCGCGAUUGGAGCGGCCGAUGUCAGAUUAGGUAGUUGGUGGGGUAAAGGCUCACCAAGCCGACGAUCUGUAGCUGGUCUGAGAGGACGACCAGCCACACUGGGACUGAGACACGGCCCAGACUCCUACGGGAGGCAGCAGUGGGGAAUUUUGGACAAUGGGCGCAAGCCUGAUCCAGCAAUGCCGCGUGCAGGAAGAAGGCCUUCGGGUUGUAAACUGCUUUUGUACGGAACGAAACGGCUCUGGUUAAUACCCGGGGCUAAUGACGGUACCGUAAGAAUAAGUACCGGCUAACUACGUGCCAGCCGCCGCCGUAAAAC